GACGAACGCUGGCGGCGUGCCUAAUACAUGCAAGUAGAACGCUGAAGCUUGGUGCUUGCACCGAGCGGAUGAGUUGCGAACGGGUGAGUAACGCGUAGGUAACCUGCCUGGUAGCGGGGGAUAACUAUUGGAAACGAUAGCUAAUACCGCAUAACAGUAGAUAUCGCAUGAUAGCUACUUGAAAGGUGCAAAUGCACCACUACCAGAUGGACCUGCGUUGUAUUAGCUAGUUGGUGAGGUAACGGCUCACCAAGGCAACGAUACAUAGCCGACCUGAGAGGGUGAUCGGCCACACUGGGACUGGGACACGGCCCAGACUCCUACGGGAGGCAGCAGUAGGGAAUCUUCGGCAAUGGACGGAAGUCUGACCGAGCAACGCCGCGUGAGUGAAGAAGGGUUUCGGAUCGUAAAGCUCUGUUGUAAGAGAAGAACGAGUGUGCGAGUGGAAAGUUCACACUGUGACGGUAUCUUACCAGAAAGGGACGGCUAACUACGUG
rnacentral:rRNA from 1 species